GGGGCUCAGUGGUAGAGCCCCUGUUUUAUAUGCAGAAGAUUCCAGGUUCAGUCCCUGGCAUCUCCA
rnacentral:tRNA from 1 species